rnacentral:lncRNA from 1 species
UAUAUAUACAUUAUUGCCUUUAAUGUUCAUCUUAUCCCAAUUUUACAGAUAAGGGAUUGAGACACAGAAAUUAAAUGACAGGCCAAGCCUGCAGAGCUCAUAAAUGGCAGACGUGGGAUGUUCUCUUAUGCACUAGGCAAGGGAUGCUAUGGAAUCAGUUCCUAUCCCCAGAGAAUUGGCUACCUGGUGCAUAUGAAAAACCUACAAAGGAACAGGAGAUAAUCAAACCAGUAUUCAAAGAAGGAAGCUGCAUGUUGCAAUUCUCUCCCCAGGUCCCCAGCCAUCUUCUGUUGGGAAUUGUGCUUCUAGUUUACACUGCUGAUGCUUUCCUACAUUUUAAGAAGUUUUUUUCUUUAUCUCUAAGGAAGGUCUC